AACGAACGCUGGCGGCAGGCUUAACACAUGCAAGUCGAGCGCCCCGCAAGGGGAGCGGCAGACGGGUGAGUAACGCGUGGGAAUCUACCGAGCCCUACGGAAUAACGCAUGGAAACGUGUGCUAAUACCGUAUACGCCCUUCGGGGGAAAGAUUUAUCGGGGUUUGAUGAGCCCGCGUUGGAUUAGCUAGUUGGUGGGGUAAAGGCCUACCAAGGCGACGAUCCAUAGCUGGUCUGAGAGGAUGAUCAGCCACAUUGGGACUGAGACACGGCCCAAACUCCUACGGGAGGCAGCAGUGGGGAAUAUUGGACAAUGGGCGCAAGCCUGAUCCAGCCAUGCCGCGUGAGUGAUGAAGGCCUUAGGGUUGUAAAGCUCUUUCACCGAUGAAGAUAAUGACGGUAGUCGGAGAAGAAGCCCCGGCUAACUUCGUGCCAGCAGCCGCGGUAAUACGAAGGGGGCUAGCGUUGUUCGGAAUUACUGGGCGUAAAGCGCACGUAGGCGGAUAUUUAAGUCAGGGGUGAAAUCCCAGAGCUCAACUCUGGAACUGCCUUUGAUACUGGGUAUCUUGAGUAUGGAAGAGGUAAGUGGAAUUCCGAGUGUAGAGGUGAAAUUCGUAGAUAUUCGGAGGAACACCAGUGGCGAAGGCGGCUUACUGGUCCAUUACUGACGCUGAGGUGCGAAAGCGUGGGGAGCAAACA
rnacentral:rRNA from 1 species